CCUACGGGAGGCAGCAGUGGGGAAUUUUGGACAAUGGGCGCAAGCCUGAUCCAGCAAUGCCGCGUGCAGGAUGAAGGCCUUCGGGUUGUAAACUGCUUUUGUACGGAACGAAACGGCGAGCUCUAAUAAAGUUCGCUAAUGACGGUACCGUAAGAAUAAGCACCGGCUAACUACGUGCCAGCAGCCGCGGUAAUACGUAGGGUGCAAGCGUUAAUCGGAAUUACUGGGCGUAAAGCGUGCGCAGGCGGUGAUGUAAGACAGAUGUGAAAUCCCCGGGCUCAACCUGGGACCUGCAUUUGUGACUGCAUCGCUAGAGUACGGUAGAGGGGGAUGGAAUUCCGCGUGUAGCAGUGAAAUGCGUAGAUAUGCGGAGGAACACCGAUGGCGAAGGCAAUCCCCUGGACCUGUACUGACGCUCAUGCACGAAAGCGUGGGGAGCAAACAGGAUUAGAUACCCUGGUAGUCCACGCCCUAAACGAUGUCAACUGGUUNUUGGGUCUUCUACUGACUCAGUAACGAAGACACGACGUGAGUAGACCGCCGUGGAGGUACGGCCGCGAGUAGAACGUACGAAAGAAGUUAGACGACGUGAGACGUACGACCGACGGACGACGACGAGGGGAGGAGG
rnacentral:rRNA from 1 species